UGGUGGAACCCUAAAAACCAAGUUGCCACCCUAUUGCCAUGCCCGUCUACCACCCCUGCUAACUCCCAGCAGUCACCACGUUCAACUAGUCAACCUCCACCAAACCAUUGUCCCAACUCUCCAGCUCACGACCUCACCACACACAGGUCUCUUCCCCGCAAGUCAAUCACUAGCUUCACGCCAACUGCUGCCCUCCGUCACACCUUUCGUCCAGCAGCGAGCCACCAUGAAUGACCAGCCGUUUAUACCAGCAUAACACCAGAAAAAGCUCCCUCAACCAAACGACUUCACCUUCUCCGUCGACCACGGAACCAGUCAGCUCUAUCCAAACGACCACGCUACCAGCUCCGUGGACCAGCUUCCAAACGACCCCGCUACCCUCCGUGAACCAACUCUGUCUGGCACGAAUACUAGCAAUCUCACGAGUUGAGUCCAUGUUGGAACUCGCCCGUGUUCUUUCGAG
rnacentral:lncRNA from 1 species